AGGCUGCAUUUGAGUGGGAAGAACAGUUCCUAAUUCAGCUCUCUGUUUUUUCCACUGCAGCCUAGAAACCAUAGAACUCUGAAUCAGGUGGAAGGAAGGGAAGAUGGGAAAAGUGCUGGAAAGCAGAAUCCCAUAGGGGCCCAAAUGGUCCCUGAGAGAAUAAUCUUAUCCCGAAGCAAGGGCCAAGUAGCACAUAAGUGAGCCCCAGGACUGGCCAGCCAGAUGAAAAAUAGGCUGAUGAAACCUACAUGAUAACUUUCUACAUUUGGUGCUGUGACCCAACUCAUCUCCCCAUCCCUGCAGAGAAACCUGGGACCAUGAGGAGCAGCCUGACCCUGGUGGGGACCCUCUGGGCCUUCCUGUCCCUUGUUACUGCUGUGGCCAGUUCUACCAGUUACUUCCUGCCUUACUGGCUCUUUGGAUCCCAGCUGGGGAAGCCAGUGUCAUUCAGCACAUUCCGGAGGUGCAACUACCCUGUGAGGGGAGAGGGGCAGAGUCUGAUCAUGGUGGAAGAGUGUGGGCGCUAUGCCAGCUUCAGUGCCAUCCCAAGCCUGGCCUGGCAGAUGUGCACGGUAGUGACGGGUGCCGGCUGUGCUCUGCUGCUCCUGGUGGCACUGGCUGCUGUCCUGGGCUGCUGCAUGGAGGAGCUCAUCUCCAGAAUGAUGGGACGUUGCAUGGGAGCCGCACAGUUCGUGGGAGGACUGCUGAUAAGCUCAGGCUGUGCAUUAUACCCUUUAGGAUGGAAUAGCCCGGAGAUAAUGCAAACAUGUGGGAAUGUCUCCAAUCAAUUUCAGUUAGGAUCACGGACUCCUGAAGGAACGGAUCAUGUCAUCUCUGUGGAAAAGGCCCACUGUCCCUGAUGCAAAGUCCUGUGUCCAAAUUGUCCUCCAGCUACACAAAAGAAAGGCAGAACGCACAUCCUGAAUCUUGCUGUGAUAUAACCCAUCUUCUAAUUACUGUUUAAAAAACAAUAGCAACGUUCCUGAGAAAGAGUCCUGUGAAAGAAAAGCCAAGAGCACUGCGGUGUGGCCUCCACAUGUACGUUACACACUUCGGCGGAAGGUGUCUGCGCUGGCGGGGAGAGCAGGAAGACCGCACGGGGACACUCCAGCCUUCCUGGUGCGAGCUGCGUGGUACAAGAGAAUCGGAUCUGGCCUGAUUCCAAAUCUAUCCUGGCCAAAGAUCUAGAGCAGGGGUCACAAACUCAAAAGCUCCAGGGACCAAGCAGACAACAUCAAAAAGUGAGCCAGCAUCAACACUGGAGGGAACCACGGCAAAUCCGAAGGAGCCUGCCUUCUAAAAGAGGGGAGCUACAGCUGAGCCAUGUUGAAAUAUGGACUCAACUGCUUUUCAAAAAUAAGCCAGAAAUAUGGUAUUUUAUAAACAAUUCCCUGGUCAUUUUUGCAUGAUAGCAAUUGAAAUUUAAAAAACAACUACAUGGGAAAAAUAAAAAAUAUCUGUGGGCCAGAUUAAAAUCCUGAGUUACUGGUUUAUGACCUCUACAUUCGAGAAACACGGAAACUCUCCAGUUUCAGUUUUCUUGACACUAUCCUCCCCUACCACUUGACCGUCUACCAAAUUGGAAUCAGAGUUCUCUGGCCUUAGGGCUUUGAUUUGGGUAUGGUUUUGCCCUGUUGUAAGGAUAUGGACUAGAUAGUUUCUUGGAGUGCCACAAAAAUAACCCUUCCUUCAUACUGAUCUAUCUCAGAUCUGUGCUUAUCUCUCUGAAGAGACCUGAAUCUAUAUUCUUUGAGAUUUUCAAGAGAGAUUCUAACAGAUUUAUCCUUUUGAGGAUCCUAACCUGAUGUUCAGACUCAAGCUGUCCCUAGGAGUCAUUCUGAAGCAAAAUUAUUAUAGCUAUUUUAGCCUCUGAUUGUGUCCCUAACAUCAGGACAAUCUGAUUUGUUACAGAGCAUCUGGCACUGGCAUGUGUCCUCCUCCUUUGGGUCACACUGUCAAUUAGGUGCUAUUGCCUGCCUUUCGCCAUCAGGGUUAAUUCUAGGGGAUGCCCUUAUAUAAAUACCUACCUUAAAGGUUGUGUUAAGGAUUAGAAAUAAUGUGCACCAAGAGAUAGUUUGUGGCCCUUGGCGGGUACUCAUUAAACACGCACACACAUACACACACAGUACUGACUAUGAUUCUGCUGAGGCUUAUGAGAAAACAGGGAUUUCUGGUGAGAGGGGAAAAUAGCAGCUCUUAGCCAGCAUGCCCUGUCAACAAUAGAAAUGCAAAAUUUCUAAGAGGCUGGUGCCCAUCUGCAGAAAUAAGCAAACAGGCAUGACCCUUCAUCAACAUGGGCCUCACCUGGCCCCUAUAUCCCUUUUUCCUAGUGCACAAGAGAGCACAUGGCUCCAAUUAGAAUACCAGUUAGUGUUACGGAUGGUUGGGUUGCUAAGCUCACUGGGUGGAAAGAACAUUAUUAGCCUGGCACUGAACUCAGUCCAGCCACUGCCCAUCCUCCUGGCUAGUCAUAUACAAGCGCUGUUCCUGCAGGUACCUACCUCACAGGCAUAAGUGCUGUAGUAAUAAAAAUUGUAAUUUAAAAAACACCAUGGUACCUCUUUACCCACUAUGUUCAUUGCUGAAUUGAUUGAAGUAAGAGAUGUAGGAAAAUGUCGUGGGUUAAAUGUUGAAGUCCUAAGCCUUGGUACCUGUGAACACAAUCUUAUUUGGAAAUAAGGUCUUUGUAAAUGUAACGAAGUUAAAAUGAGGUCCACUGGAAUAGGGUGAGACUUUAAUAUAACUGGUGUCCUUGUAAGAAAAAGAGAAAAGACACAGAGAGAGACAUGCACAGAUGGAAGACAGCCAUGUGAAGACAAAGACACAGAGAGGGAAGACUGCCAUGUGACUACGGAGGCAGGCAUUGGAGUUGUUUAGCUGCAAACCAAGGGACACCAAGGACCGCUGGUAACAGCCAGAAGCUAGGAGAGGGAGCCUGGCCCUGCCAACACCUUGACUUUGGACUUCAAGCCUCCAGGACUGUAAGUAAGUAAAUUUCUAUUGUUUUAAGGCAUAAAGCUGGUGGUACCUUGUUACCACAGCCCUAGGAAUCUAAUACAGGACGAACAGUAGGAGUGUGUCUUUUGGAGUCAGGCAAGUCUGUGUUCAAAUUCUGGCUCUGCCAUUUUCUACCUGUAGAUUUGGGCAGAUUAUUUAACAUCUCUGGACCUGUUUAGUCAUCAAUAAAAAAAGGACAGCACUACCUCAAAGGGGUAUUAUGACCAUUAAAUGAAAUAUUUUAAGUUGAAAGUGUCUAACACUUAGGAGUGGUGACUGUUUUCCAUAAUUAUACAUAUAUAUUUCUGGAAAGCAACUUGGUAUAAAAAUACAUAAAGGCUUCACAUGUGCAUUUUCCAUGAUCCACUAAUUUCUAACGCAUAUACACAAUAGUCAUUUCUAAGGUAUACACCUACUCCUAAGUAUAUACCCAACAGAAAUGCAUAUACUUGAGUGUUCAUAGCAGCAACAGUCAUGAUAGUAAAAUAAUACAUAAAGUCAUAUGCCCAUUAGCAGGAAAGUGAAUAAAUUAAAUUGUGGUAUAUUCACACAAUGAAAUACUAUUCAACAAUUAAAAUCAAUACUCUGUAACUAUAGAUACUACAAACGUGUUGAAUAAAAGAAGCCAAAAAAACUGCAUACUCUAUGAUUCUAAACAUAUAUAAAGGUUUUAAAUCUGGCAAAACUAAUAUAGACUGUUAGAAGUCCUGAUAGUGCUUACCCUUGGGAGGAAGUAGUGACUGAAUGAGGCAUGAGGGAGGCUUCUGAGGUGCUGGUAACAUCCUGUUUCUAGAUAUGGUGGUGUGUUCACUAUAUGGGUGUGUUUACUUUGUGAAAAUAUGUCAAGCUGCACACUUAUGUGCAUUUUUCUGU